rnacentral:rRNA from 1 species
AUAGAAAUAAUUUGUUUAAAUUUAAAGUUAAAAAUAUUAAAUAAUAAAAAUAAUUUUAGAAUUAUUUAGUUGGUGUAUUUUAUAAUAAUAAAAUAAUAUAAACAAUAGUAUAAUAGUAUAGUAAUAGAAAAUUGAAAUAAUAAUAAUUAAUUAAAAAGUAAUUUUUAUUUAAUGUACCUUUUGUAUCAGGGUUUAUUAAAUAUAUUUUAAGUAAAUUAAAAAUCUCGAAUUUAAGAGAGCUAAAAUAAUAUAAAAGUUAUUGUAUUAAAAAUAUUUUUAAUAUUAUUUUAGUAAUGAAAAGUUAGUCGUUCUUAAAUAUAUCUAGUUUUUUAAGAAAUGAAUUUAAUUCAUUAUUAAUUUUAUAUUAAUUUAAUUAAUAAAUUUAAUAUAAAUUAAUAAAAAAUUUUUUAGGGAUGAGCUUAAAAAAUUUUUAUUAUAAAUUUAUAAAAUAAUAAAAAAUAUAGGAUUAGAAAUUUUCAUUAUUAAUAAAAAUGUUAUAAUUUAUUAUAAAUUAUAUUUUAUUUAUAAAAUUUUAAUUGUUUUAUUAAAAUAUUUAUUUUAAUAAUAAAAAUAAAGAAAUAAUGAUAAAAUUAGUAUUAAUUUAUAUAAAAAUAAAAAUUAUAUAAAGAUAAAAAUAAGGAAUUCAGCAAAAAUAAUAUUCACCUGUUUAUCAAAAACAUGUCUUUUUGUUAAAAAUAUAAAGUCUAACCUGCCCACUGAUAAUUAUUAAAGGGCCGCGGUAUUUUGACUGUGCAAAGGUAGCAUAAUCAUUUGUCUCUUAAUUGGAGGCUGGAAUGAAUGGUUGAAUGAAAUAUUAACUGUCUCAUUUUUAAAAUUAUAAAAAUUUAGCUUUUAAGUCAAAAGGCUUAAAUUUAUUUAGAGGACGAGAAGACCCUAUAGAUCUUUAUAAUUUGUUUAAUUUUAUAAAAUAGAUAAAUAAUUAAUAAAAUUAAUAUAAUUAUUUUAUUGGGGUGAUAGGAAAAUUAAAUAAACUUUUUUUAUAUAUAUAAACAUUGAUUUAUGAUUAAUUGAUCCAUUUUUAGUGAUUAUAAGAUUAAGUUACCUUAGGGAUAACAGCGUAAUUUUUUUAGAGAGUUCUUAUCGAUAAAAAAGAUUGCGACCUCGAUGUUGAAUUAAAGGUUAUUUCUAGAUGUAGCAGUUUAGAGUUUAGGUCUGUUCGACCUUUGAAUCUUUACAUGAUUUGAGUUCAGACCGGCGUAAGCCAGGUCGGUUUCUAUCCUUAAUUAAUUAAAAUAUUUUAGUACGAAAGGACCAAAUAUUUAAAUAAUAUUUUUAAUUUUGAAUAAUAU